UAAGCGACUAAGCGUACACGGUGGAUGCCCUGGCAGUCAGAGGCGAUGAAGGACGUGCUAAUCUGCGAUAAGCGUCGGUAAGGUGAUAUGAACCGUUAUAACCGGCGAUUUCCGAAUGGGGAAACCCAGUGUGUUUCGACACACUAUCAUUAACUGAAUCCAUAGGUUAAUGAGGCGAACCGGGGGAACUGAAACAUCUAAGUACCCCGAGGAAAAGAAAUCAACCGAGAUUCCCCCAGUAGCGGCGAGCGAACGGGGAGCAGCCCAGAGCCUGAAUCAGUGUGUGUGUUAGUGGAAGCGUCUGGAAAGACGCGCGAUACAGGGUGACAGCCCCGUACACAAAAAUGCACAUGCUGUGAGCUCGAUGAGUAGGGCGGGACACGUGGUAUCCUGUCUGAAUAUGGGGGGACCAUCCUCCAAGGCUAAAUACUCCUGACUGACCGAUAGUGAACCAGUACCGUGAGGGAAAGGCGAAAAGAACCCCGGCGAGGGGAGUGAAAAAGAACCUGAAACCGUGUACGUACAAGCAGUGGGAGCACGCUUAGGCGUGUGACUGCGUACCUUUUGUAUAAUGGGUCAGCGACUUAUAUUCUGUAGCAAGGUUAACCGAAUAGGGGAGCCGAAGGGAAACCGAGUCUUAACUGGGCGUUAAGUUGCAGGGUAUAGACCCGAAACCCGGUGAUCUAGCCAUGGGCAGGUUGAAGGUUGGGUAACACUAACUGGAGGACCGAACCGACUAAUGUUGAAAAAUUAGCGGAUGACUUGUGGCUGGGGGUGAAAGGCCAAUCAAACCGGGAGAUAGCUGGUUCUCCCCGAAAGCUAUUUAGGUAGCGCCUCGUGAAUUCAUCUCCGGGGGUAGAGCACUGUUUCGGCAAGGGGGUCAUCCCGACUUACCAACCCGAUGCAAACUGCGAAUACCGGAGAAUGUUAUCACGGGAGACACACGGCGGGUGCUAACGUCCGUCGUGAAGAGGGAAACAACCCAGACCGCCAGCUAAGGUCCCAAAGUCAUGGUUAAGUGGGAAACGAUGUGGGAAGGCCCAGACAGCCAGGAUGUUGGCUUAGAAGCAGCCAUCAUUUAAAGAAAGCGUAAUAGCUCACUGGUCGAGUCGGCCUGCGCGGAAGAUGUAACGGGGCUAAACCAUGCACCGAAGCUGCGGCAGCGACGCUGAUGCGUUGUUGGGUAGGGGAGCGUUCUGUAAGCCUGUGAAGGUGUGCUGUGAGGCAUGCUGGAGGUAUCAGAAGUGCGAAUGCUGACAUAAGUAACGAUAAAGCGGGUGAAAAGCCCGCUCGCCGGAAGACCAAGGGUUCCUGUCCAACGUUAAUCGGGGCAGGGUGAGUCGACCCCUAAGGCGAGGCCGAAAGGCGUAGUCGAUGGGAAACAGGUUAAUAUUCCUGUACUUGGUGUUACUGCGAAGGGGGGACGGAGAAGGCUAUGUUGGCCGGGCGACGGUUGUCCCGGUUUAAGCGUGUAGGCUGGUUUUCCAGGCAAAUCCGGAAAAUCAAGGCUGAGGCGUGAUGACGAGGCACUACGGUGCUGAAGCAACAAAUGCCCUGCUUCCAGGAAAAGCCUCUAAGCAUCAGGUAACAUCAAAUCGUACCCCAAACCGACACAGGUGGUCAGGUAGAGAAUACCAAGGCGCUUGAGAGAACUCGGGUGAAGGAACUAGGCAAAAUGGUGCCGUAACUUCGGGAGAAGGCACGCUGAUAUGUAGGUGAAGUCCCUCGCGGAUGGAGCUGAAAUCAGUCGAAGAUACCAGCUGGCUGCAACUGUUUAUUAAAAACACAGCACUGUGCAAACACGAAAGUGGACGUAUACGGUGUGACGCCUGCCCGGUGCCGGAAGGUUAAUUGAUGGGGUUAGCCGCAAGGCGAAGCUCUUGAUCGAAGCCCCGGUAAACGGCGGCCGUAACUAUAACGGUCCUAAGGUAGCGAAAUUCCUUGUCGGGUAAGUUCCGACCUGCACGAAUGGCGUAAUGAUGGCCAGGCUGUCUCCACCCGAGACUCAGUGAAAUUGAACUCGCUGUGAAGAUGCAGUGUACCCGCGGCAAGACGGAAAGACCCCGUGAACCUUUACUAUAGCUUGACACUGAACAUUGAGCCUUGAUGUGUAGGAUAGGUGGGAGGCUUUGAAGUGUGGACGCCAGUCUGCAUGGAGCCGACCUUGAAAUACCACCCUUUAAUGUUUGAUGUUCUAACGUUGACCCGUAAUCCGGGUUGCGGACAGUGUCUGGUGGGUAGUUUGACUGGGGCGGUCUCCUCCUAAAGAGUAACGGAGGAGCACGAAGGUUGGCUAAUCCUGGUCGGACAUCAGGAGGUUAGUGCAAUGGCAUAAGCCAGCUUGACUGCGAGCGUGACGGCGCGAGCAGGUGCGAAAGCAGGUCAUAGUGAUCCGGUGGUUCUGAAUGGAAGGGCCAUCGCUCAACGGAUAAAAGGUACUCCGGGGAUAACAGGCUGAUACCGCCCAAGAGUUCAUAUCGACGGCGGUGUUUGGCACCUCGAUGUCGGCUCAUCACAUCCUGGGGCUGAAGUAGGUCCCAAGGGUAUGGCUGUUCGCCAUUUAAAGUGGUACGCGAGCUGGGUUUAGAACGUCGUGAGACAGUUCGGUCCCUAUCUGCCGUGGGCGCUGGAGAACUGAGGGGGGCUGCUCCUAGUACGAGAGGACCGGAGUGGACGCAUCACUGGUGUUCGGGUUGUCAUGCCAAUGGCACUGCCCGGUAGCUAAAUGCGGAAGAGAUAAGUGCUGAAAGCAUCUAAGCACGAAACUUGCCCCGAGAUGAGUUCUCCCUGACUCCUUGAGAGUCCUGAAGGAACGUUGAAGACGACGACGUUGAUAGGCCGGGUGUGUAAGCGCAGCGAUGCGUUGAGCUAACCGGUACUAAUGAACCGUGAGGCUUAACCU
rnacentral:rRNA from 3 species